AGAAUCAACGCUGGCGGCGUGCCUAACACAUGCAAGUCGCACGAGAAAGGGGCUUCGGCUCUGAGUAAAGUGGCGCACGGGUGAGUAACACGUGAAUUAUCUACCUCCGAGUGGGGAAUAACUGAGAGAGAUCUUAGCUAAUACCGCAUAACACUUACGGGUCAAAGCAGCAAUGCGCUUGGAGAGGAGUUCGCGGCCGAUUAGUUAGUUGGCGGGUAAUCGGCCCACCAAGACGAUGAUCGGUA
rnacentral:rRNA from 1 species